GGGUGACAGACCUGAAGCUUCUCAUUCUACACUCGAGCGACGCUUCUUGCGCUCAAGUGAGGAGACCUUUAUGUGUCUGGUCACUCGAGCGAGAACUCCUUCGCUCGAGCGAACCUGUUCAUAUUAGAUCGUGAAUGAGUCAUUUUAGAUCAUUUUUGCAGCUCACUUUCUCUCAAAAACUCUCCAUGAACGCAGGUCUUCAUACUCUCUCUCUAGAAUACACUUUCUCUCUAAGAUUUUAUCUAGAUCUGUUGUGUUCUUGACCCUAGUGUCUUUGAGAAUAAGGUAAAGGGCUUCAAGAGCUUCGUUUUGAUCCAAUAAGUAAUUGAUUUGGUCAUCUUUGAAGUUCCACCUUGUUGCUUGGGUUUUCUACACUUGAGGUGCAGGUGAGAUAUUUCCUCCAAGGCAAUAGCAUGAGUUGACUUUCGGGAAGUAAGAGCUUCUUAUUUAUGCCUUAUGUGUGUAUGUUUGUUAUUUGUAAAGCCAAGGGCUUAAGAUGUAAUGAGUGAUACUCAAUUUGUGUAACCAAGCAAUAACUUGGGAAUAUGUAAACCUACAUGACAUUUAAUUGGUUGUUAAACAGUGAACUCUGAUGUAUGAAAGUAUGUUGUUUC